GAUACAACACAGGGGACAGAGUAGUAAAGAGUUUGGUCAGAAAAUGGAACUCACGCAUUUUGUUCUCAUACAUAUCACCAAGCUCAAGCCCUUGCUCUGCAGCGCUGGGCCUCCAAUAUUAUUGGCUCAAAAUCAAAGAAAACUGAUCUCCGAAGACAAAAAGCGGUGGCGAUUCGAGAGAGCUGUGAAGUCCUCCUCCUCCAUAUGUACAUAUAAAAUACUCAAAAACGAUUGCAGCUGCCUUUUCCAUAAUACACUCAAUCCCCAUCUCAUCGUUCAGACAACAAGGAUGGGAACUACUUUCCUGUUCAAUAAAAGUGGGGUAGUCUAUGUCAAUGACAAGCUGGAUCAUAAAUUAUAUGUCUUUUAAAAAAGAAAUUGGAGAACUUUAUUUGUAAAAAUUAUUAUUAAAUCUCCAAAAUUAAUUAGUUAAUUUUUUUAUUAAAAUAUU